rnacentral:misc_RNA from 1 species
GAAAUGCGAUAAGUAAUGUGAAUUGCAGAAUUCAGUGAAUCAUCGAAUCUUUGAACGCACCUUGCGCUCUCUGGUAUUCCGGGGAGCAUGCCUGAUUUGAAAUCUAGAAGGCCGGCUUGGGUAAAACCAAGCGGAUCAGGACCGAAUUUUUACUCCCAGAGCAAUAAUAGUUAAUGCGUUUUUGCGCGUUAUCCCUUUUUGCCCCGGGGUUGGCCCUGAACUUUUAGGCCUCACACUUUCUCUCGGCCCAGGCUGGAGAGGGAGGGACUAGAGUAUUUUGACGAGGCCUUCCUUCACCGGAACCUCUGACCUCUUAGAUCUCAAAUCAGGCAAGAUUACCCGCUGAACUUAA